UCUCCACUUCUGAUAUGUCUGUAUAUGUUGUGGUCUCCACCUUACUGAUUAAGAAUUGGAUGUGCUCUUUGUGUCUUUCUAUGUCAGAUUUGAUCUGCAAGGCAAUACAUUGCACUGUAAGGAGGGUUUAUCUGACAGAGGCUAUAUAUAUAUAUAUAUGCCAGGUGACAGUUUCCCUUUCUGGCUCAUCCUAUUCUCCAUAUGAGACUCCCUUCUUGUGAGCGCACGGUACAACUCAACAACCUCAGGAGCACGCCGCACAGAUCUUUUUCCGAGUGUUGUUUUUGAUGGCAAUGGUGGAGGUGGUGGUGGUUUUAUUACAGGAGAUGAUUCUUGGAUGCUUGUCUUAGGACUCGGGUUCUUUGCCUCUUGACCCUUUUCAUUGAGCUUGACGUUUUCAAGCGCUUUCAGAUCGAUCCUUACGAGGGAACCUUGAAACUCCUUCACCAUACGCAUGAGAUCUGAGUCAUCAUCAUGAUUUGUUUAGAUGGAAGAUUCUCCGGAUCAGCAAACGAACGGUGGCUACGCCAUUAUAGAAUCGUCUUGAGGAAAACGAGCAAAAAUUCUUCCAGUUAAAAUGAGCCACCAAAUAAAAUAUCUGCAACUUUUUUUGUUACCAAAAGGAACCACCUUUUAAAUUUAAAGAAUUAUGUUAGUGGGUGGAUUUCCGCAGAGUUAUUUGUAGAACCACCGGGAAUUUGAUUACUUUACAAAACUGUUUUCUAGUCUCUCUCUCUCUAUAUAUAUAUAUAUAUAGACACACGCACACGCACACAAACUAGUAGGCUUUGUUGUUUCUUUGUUGUGUAUUGGUUUACCAUUCUCUGAAGCAAGAUAAGAAUAUAAGGUGAUGGUGAAAAGUAAAAGAAAAAAGACAAGGACCUGAAAGUCACUUCCUACCAACACCUUUCUUCUCACAUUCGUGAUUUUUGCAUCUCUACUCCAUCCAGAUUACACAAAAGCUAAAUGAUUUUUGGCGUUUUUAUUUCAAAUCUUGCUUCUUCUUUUUUACUUUUCUAGAAACUAGAGGGGGUAUUAUGUUCUUGUCCUGAUAAUCAUCCCCUGCCUCACACUCAUCUUAGUAAACAGUUGUUAAAGCUCUUUCAUGAUUGACAUGCAAUGGUCCUCGGGGUGGUGUUUAUGGUGGUAA